rnacentral:rRNA from 1 species
AUAAUGGGUCAGCGACUUAUAUUCUGUAGCAAGGUUAACCGAAUAGGGGAGCCGAAGGGAAACCGAGUCUUAACUGGGCGUUAAGUUGCAGGGUAUAGACCCGAAACCCGGUGAUCUAGCCAUGGGCAGGUUGAAGGUUGGGUAACACUAACUGGAGGACCGAACCGACUAAUGUUGAAAAAUUAGCGGAUGACUUGUGGCUGGGGGUGAAAGGCCAAUCAAACCGGGAGAUAGCUGGUUCUCCCCGAAAGCUAUUUAGGUAGCGCCUCGUGAAUUCAUCUCCGGGGGUAGAGCACUGUUUCGGCAAGGGGGUCAUCCCGACUUACCAACCCGAUGCAAACUGCGAAUACCGGAGAAUGUUAUCACGGGAGACACACGGCGGGUGCUAACGUCCGUCGUGAAGAGGGAAACAACCCAGACCGCCAGCUAAGGUCCCAAAGUCAUGGUUAAGUGGGAAACGAUGUGGGAAGGCCCAGACAGCCAGGAUGUUGGCUUAGAAGCAGCCAUCAUUUAAAGAAAGCGUAAUAGCUCACUGGUCGAGUCGGCCUGCGCGGAAGAUGUAACGGGGCUAAACCAUGCACCGAAGCUGCGGCAGCGACGCUGAUGCGUUGUUGGGUAGGGGAGCGUUCUGUAAGCCUGUGAAGGUGUGCUGUGAGGCAUGCUGGAGGUAUCAGAAGUGCGAAUGCUGACAUAAGUAACGAUAAAGCGGGUGAAAAGCCCGCUCGCCGGAAGACCAAGGGUUCCUGUCCAACGUUAAUCGGGGCAGGGUGAGUCGACCCCUAAGGCGAGGCCGAAAGGCGUAGUCGAUGGGAAACAGGUUAAUAU